rnacentral:lncRNA from 1 species
AUCACGGAUUAAUUUUCAUCUUCAACCUCCGCGAGAUGCUGCAGAUGUCAAAUGCCACCCCUCAUCCACGCGCGGUGCAGGGCUAACACAAUGGGAUGCAGACCCCGUGCUGUGGACCAGAGGCUGUUGCCAUAGCAAAGGGACCUGUCCAAGAGAGAUGCCCAGGGGCCAGGACAGGAAAGCAGCAGCUGUGUGAAGACAGGAUGGAGACUAGACAGGGCUCUGCGUGGAGACUUCAGCUCUCAGGUGAAGAAGUGAAGACCCAGAAGGCUUUAGUCGCAACUUCCUUGGAAGAAAGAGCAUAUCCAUGAUUUAGCCUCUGGAAUGUGGUUCCAGUGAGAGUG